rnacentral:rRNA from 1 species
GACGAACGCUGGCGGCGUGCUUAACACAUGCAAGUCGAACGGAAAGGCCUGCUUUCCCUUGUGGAUUGCGGGUACUCGAGUGGCGAACGGGUGAGUAACACGUGAGUGAUCUGCCCCCAACUUGGGUAUAAGCCUGGGAAACUGGGUCUAAUUCCCGAUAGGACUGCAGGGUGGUGCCUGUGGUGGAAAACGAUUUUCUAGUGGUUGGGGAUGAGCUCGCGGCCUAUCAGCUUGUUGGUGGGGUAAUGGCCUACCAAGGCGGCGACGGGUAGCCGGCCUGAGAGGGUGGACGGCCGCAUUGGGACUGAGAUACGGCCCAGACUCCUACGGGAGGCAGCAGUGGGGAAUAUUGCACCAUGGGCGGAAGCCUGAUGCAGCGACGCCGCGUGGGGGAUGACGGCCUUCGGGUUGUAAACUCCUUUCGACCGCGAGGAAGCCACCUGGUUGGAAGGGUGGUGACGGUAGUGGUAGAAGAAGCACCGGCUAACUACGUG